GGCUCUGUAGUGAAGUUCAUGGUGAGUUGCAAGCUCAUCGAUGUGUACUGACGGUGCACCGGAGUCU
rnacentral:tRNA from 1 species